rnacentral:rRNA from 1 species
AGGAAUAUUGGUCAAUGGGCGCGAGCCUGAACCAGCCAAGUAGCGUGAAGGAUGAAGGUCCUAUGGAUUGUAAACUUCUUUUAUACGGGAAUAAAGUGGUCCACGUGUGGGCUUUUGCAUGUACCGUAUGAAUAAGCAUCGGCUAACUCCGUGCCAGCAGCCGCGGUAAUACGGAGGAUGCGAGCGUUAUCCGGAUUUAUUGGGUUUAAAGGGAGCGCAGACGGGGGAUUAAGUCAGUUGUGAAAGUUUGCGGCUCAACCGUAAAAUUGCAGUUGAUACUGGUUCCCUUGAGUGCAGUUGAGGCAGGCGGAAUUCGUGGUGUAGCGGUGAAAUGCAUAGAUAUCACGAAGAACCCCGAUUGCGAAGGCAGCCUGCUAAGCUGUAACUGACGUUGAGGCUCGAAAGUGUGGGUAUCAAACAGGAUUAGAUACCCUGGUAGUCCACACGGUAAACGAUGGAUACUCGCUGUUGGCGAUAUACUGUCAGCGGCCAAGCGAAAGCAUUAAGUAUCCCACCUGGGGAGUACGCCGGCAACGGUGAAACUCAAAGGAAUUGACGGGGGCCCGCACAAGCGGAGGAACAUGUGGUUUAAUUCGAUGAUACGCGAGGAACCUUACCCGGGCUUAAAUUGCAGACGAAUUACCUGGAAACAGGUAAGCCGCAAGGCGUCUGUGAAGGUGCUGCAUGGUUGUCGUCAGCUCGUGCCGUGAGGUGUCGGCUUAAGUGCCAUAACGAGCGCAACCCUCGUGGCCAGUUACUAGCAGGUAACGCUGAGGACUCUGGCCAGACUGCCAUCGUAAGAUGCGAGGAAGGUGGGGAUGACGUCAAAUCAGCACGGCCCUUACGUCCGGGGCUACACACGUGUUACAAUGGGAGGUACAGAAGGCAGCUACCCGGCGACGGGAUGCCAAUCUCCAAAGCCUCUCUCAGUUCGGACUGGAGUCUGCAACCCGACUCCACGAAGCUGGAUUCGCUAGUAAUCGCGCAUCAGCCACGGCGCGGUGAAUACGUUCCCG